rnacentral:rRNA from 1 species
AUGGCGGACGCGCUGAUCGGGCCGCUGGUGGGGAGGCUCCAGGAGCUGGCGCUGAGCCAGGCACGGGCGCUGGUGGCGGUGAACAAGGACAUCCGGAGGCUCCGCGACAAGCUCAUGUUCCUGCAGGCCUUCCUCCGCGAGGCCGACGCCAAGCGCCACCUCUUCUCCGACGAGAUCACCAGGGUGUGGCUGCAGCAGACGCGCGACGCCGUCUUCGACGCCGAGGACGCCGUCGAUCACUACUACCUCCAGGUCGACAUGUCAAGGCAAGAAGCGCUUCUACAUGCGUCCUCCUGUCGGUCCCUAAAGUACCAAGGUAAAUGGUUGAUGUUGCGUUUAUCUAGGAUGAUAUAUGUUGGCUCUGUUCCGGUUCAUCCGAGCAGUUUGGUGACUAAUUUACUGAUAAUUUAA